UUGUAAUCCCUAAUGUUGGAGAAGGGGCCUGGUAGUAGGUGACUGGGUCAUGAGGGCAGAUUUCUCCCUUGCUGUUCUCAUCACAGUGAGUGAGUUCUCACAAGAUCUGGUUGUUUAAAAGUGUGUAGCACCUCCCCUUCACUCUCUCUCUCUCCUUCUCCAGCUACGUGAAGAUGUGCCUGCUUCCCCUUCCAUCAUGAUUGAAAGUUUCCUGAAGCCUCUCCAGCUAUGCUUCCUGUACAGCCUGCAGAAUGUAAAGACUGGGCUUCACCAUGUUGGCCAGGCUGGUGUUGAACUCCUGACCUUGUGAUCUUCCCGCCUCAGCCUCCCUAAGUGCUGGGAUUACAGGCGUGAGCCACUGCACCUGGCCUCAGGUAUUUCUUUAUAGCAGUGCAAGAAUGGAUUGAUACAGCUGGUUAAGAAAUUCUGUUCACUUAACAUUUUAAUUUGCUCAGUUCUAUGCGCCCAACACCAUAGGAGAUGCUGGUGAUGGUGCCUGCCAAUUAAAAAAGCU
rnacentral:lncRNA from 1 species